GGUUCUAUGGCGCAAUUGGUUAGCGCGUCCGGCUGUUAAUAUCCAAGUUGGCAUACCGGGAGGUUGAAAGUUCGAGUCUUUCUAGUACCG